AUACGGAGGGUGCAAGCGUUAAUCGGAAUUACUGGGCGUAAAGCGUGCGCAGGCGGUUUGUUAAGUCUGUUGUGAAAUCCCCGAGCUCAACUUGGGAAUUGCAAUGGAUACUGGCAAGCUGGAGUACGGUAGAGGAAGGUGGAAUUCCCGGUGUAGCAGUGAAAUGCGUAGAGAUCGGGAGGAACACCAGUGGCGAAGGCGGCCUUCUGGACCAGUACUGACGCUCAUGCACGAAAGCGUGGGGAGCAAACAGGAUUAGAUACCCUGGUAGUCCACGCCCUAAACGAUGCGAACUGGAUGUUGGGUACAUUACGGUACUCAGUGUCGAAGCUAACGCGUUAAGUUCGCCGCCUGGGGAGUACGGUCGCAAGACUGAA
rnacentral:rRNA from 1 species